rnacentral:rRNA from 1 species
AGUGAACGCUGGCGGUAGGCCUAACACAUGCAAGUCGAACGGCAGCACAGUAAGAGCUUGCUCUUACGGGUGGCGAGUGGCGGACGGGUGAGGAAUACAUCGGAAUCUACUUUUUCGUGGGGGAUAACGUAGGGAAACUUACGCUAAUACCGCAUACGACCUACGGGUGAAAGCAGGGGAUCUUCGGACCUUGCGCGAUUGAAUGAGCCGAUGUCGGAUUAGCUAGUUGGCGGGGUAAAGGCCCACCAAGGCGACGAUCCGUAGCGGGUCUGAGAGGAUGAUCAGCCACACGGAAACUGGAAAACGGUCCAGCCUCCUACGGAGGGCGCCAGUGGGAAUAUUGGACAAUGGGCGCAAGCCUGAUCCAGCCAUACCGCGUGGGUGAAGAAGGCCUUCGGGUUGUAAAGCCCUUUUGUUGGGAAAGAAAAGCAGCAGGUUAAUACCCCGCUGUUCUGACGGUACCCAAAGAAUAAGCACCGGCUAACUUCGUG